GGAUGAACGCUGGCGGCGUGCUUAACACAUGCAAGUCGAACGAAGCACUUACCAAGGAUUUCUUCGGAAUGACUAAUAAGUGACUGAGUGGCGGACGGGUGAGUAACGCGUGGGUAACCUACCUCAUACAGGGGGAUAACAGUUAGAAAUGACUGCUAAUACCGCAUAAUGCAGCGAGAUCGCAUGUUCUUGCUGUCAAAGAUUUAUCGCUCCGAGAUGAGCUCGCGGCCGAUUAGGUAGUUGGUGAGGUAAUGGCUCACCAAGCCGACGAUCGGUAGCCGGACUGAGAGGUUGAUCGGCCACAUUGGGACUGAGAUACGGCCCAGACUCCUACGGGAGGCAGCAGUGGGGAAUAUUGGGCAAUGGGGGAAACCCUGACCCAGCAACGCCGCGUGAAGGAAGAAGGCCUUCGGGUUGUAAACUUCUUUUACCAGGGACGAAGAACGUGACGGUACCUGGAGAAAAAGCAACGGCUAACUACGUG
rnacentral:rRNA from 1 species